UUAGUAACUGAUGAAUUUAGUAAAAAACAGACAGGGGUUCUAAUGCAGUCAAUAGUUUCAAAACUAAUCUCAUACACUUUAAUACAGAAUGUUUACAAGAAGAGAAUUGGAGUUCCCCCUUUAUAUUUCUCAUUAGUGGAUUAUCAAAACAUUAAAAAAGCGAAACCAGAAUUUGUGAAUUCUUUCCGAAGUUUGAACGAAACAGGUAUUA